rnacentral:rRNA from 1 species
AUUGAACGCUGGCGGCAUGCCUUACACAUGCAAGUCGAACGGCAGCACGGGGGGUAACCCCUGGUGGCGAGUGGCGAACGGGUGAGUAAUAUAUCGGAACGUUUCCUGUAGCGGGGGAUAACCUAUCGAAAGAUGGACUAAUACCGCAUACGACCUACGGGUUACAGCGGAGGACCGCAAGGCUUCGCACUAUAGGAGCGGCCGAGAUCGGAUUAGCUCGUUGGCGGGGUAACGGCCCACCAAGGCGACGAUCCGUAGCUGGUCUGAGAGGACGAUAAGCCACACUGGAACUGAGACACGGUCCAGACUCCUACGGGAGGCAGCAGUGGGGAAUUUUGGACAAUGGGCGCAAGCCUGAUCCAGCCAUGCCGAGUGAGUGAAGAAGGCCUUCGGGUUGUAAAGCUCUUUCGGCGGGGACGAAACGGUUCGGGCUAAUACCACGGACUACUGACGGUACCCGCAGAAGAAGCACCGGCUAACUACGUG